rnacentral:lncRNA from 1 species
AAACUGUGCAGCAGGGUUGGAAGAGAGGUGCCAAGAGGUGUUUCCACCUUACAGGAAGAUGGUUUCAAGCUGGUGCUCUGGCAGUCAGAGCCUUCCUGGCACAGGGAUCUGGGGACAUAAAUUCCAGAUGAGCACCUUUGAUUCCCUCAGACAAUGAUAAUGCAGAGAUGAUUGACACCUACAGCUUGGGAAGAGAUGUGCUCAGCACUGAUCCCAGAGGAUGUGCCUUUCAGCAGGAAGCAGGAGAAGCAGAGCAGAUCCAUGUGCAGCCCCAGGUGUGUUCCAGGAGUUCUGGGAGCUGGGAAGAGCAUCUGUCUUUGAGCCAGGUCUGCUCCCAGAGGAGGUGGAGGACACGGCAGUGAAACUGGAUGUUGUGUUCUCACCAUAUAAGAGAGACUAAAAAUAGCUUGGAGGAGUUGUGGAAAAUCCUGUGUUCCUGAAGUAUCUUUUGAUGUCUCUUUAUCUCAGGAUAGGAUGGGAUUUUUUGGUUGGGAUUUUUUUGUUUUGUUUUGGUUUGGUUUUGUUUGGUUUGGUUUGUUUUUUGGGGAGG